CCUACGGGGUGCAGCAGUGAGGAAUAUUGGUCAAUGGUCGGGAGACUGAACCAGCCAAGCCGCGUGAGGGAUGAAGGUACAGAGUAUCGUAAACCUCUUUUGUCAGGGAACAAAGGCGGGGACGUGUCCCCGGAUGAGUGUACCUGAAGAAAAAGCAUCGGCUAACUCCGUGCCAGCAGCCGCGGUAAUACGGGGGAUGGGAGGGUUAUCCGGAUUUAUUGGGUUUAAGGGGUGCGCAGGCGGUCUGUUAAGUAAGCGGUAAAAGCCCGGGGCUCAACCCCGGCCCGCCGUUGAAACUGGCAGUCUCGAGUUGGAGAGAAGUAUGCGGAAUGCGCGGUGUAGCGGUGAAAUGCAUAGAUAUCGCGCAGAACUCCGAUUGCGAAGGCAGCAUGCCGGCUCCACACUGACGCUGAGGCACGAAAGCGUGGGUAUCGAACAGGAUUAGAUACCCUGGUAGUC
rnacentral:rRNA from 1 species